AGUCGAACGGCAGCACGGAGCUUGCUCUGGUGGCGAGUGGCGAACGGGUGAGUAAUAUAUCGGAACGUACCCUAGAGUGGGGGAUAACGUAGCGAAAGUUACGCUAAUACCGCAUACGAUCUAAGGAUGAAAGUGGGGGAUCGCAAGACCUCAUGCUCGUGGAGCGGCCGAUAUCUGAUUAGCUAGUUGGUAGGGUAAAAGCCUACCAAGGCAUCGAUCAGUAGCUGGUCUGAGAGGACGACCAGCCACACUGGAACUGAGACACGGUCCAGACUCCUACGGGAGGCAGCAGUGGGGAAUUUUGGACAAUGGGCGAAAGCCUGAUCCAGCAAUGCCGCGUGAGUGAAGAAGGCCUUCGGGUUGUAAAGCUCUUUUGUCAGGGAAGAAACGGUGAGAGCUAAUAUCUUUUGCUAAUGACGGUACCUGAAGAAUAAGCACCGGCUAACUACGUGCCAGCAGCCGCGGUAAUACGUAGGGUGCAAGCGUUAAUCGGAAUUACUGGGCGUAAAGCGUGCGCAGGCGGUUUUGUAAGUCUGAUGUGAAAUCCCCGGGCUCAACCUGGGAAUUGCAUUGGAGACUGCAAGGCUAGAAUCUGGCAGAGGGGGGUAGAAUUCCACGUGUAGCAGUGAAAUGCGUAGAUAUGUGGAGGAACACCGAUGGCGAAGGCAGCCCCCUGGGUCAAGAUUGACGCUCAUGCACGAAAGCGUGGGGAGCAAACAGGAUUAGAUACCCUGGUAGUCCACGCCCUAAACGAUGUCUACUAGUUGUCGGGUCUUAAUUGACUUGGUAACGCAGCUAACGCGUGAAGUAGACCGCCUGGGGAGUACGGUCGCAAGAUUAAAACUCAAAGGAAUUGACGGGGACCCGCACAAGCGGUGGAUGAUGUGGAUUAAUUCGAUGCAACGCGAAAAACCUUACCUACCCUUGACAUGGCUGGAAUCCUUGAGAGAUCAGGGAGUGCUCGAAAGAGANCCAGUACACAGGUGCUGCAUGGCUGUCGUCAGCUCGUGUCGUGAGAUGUUGGGUUAAGUCCCGCAACGAGCGCAACCCUUGUCAUUAGUUGCUACGAAAGGGCACUCUAAUGAGACUGCCGGUGACAAACCGGAGGAAGGUGGGGAUGACGUCAAGUCCUCAUGGCCCUUAUGGGUAGGGCUUCACACGUCAUACAAUGGUACAUACAGAGCGCCGCCAACCCGCGAGGGGGAGCUAAUCGCAGAAAGUGUAUCGUAGUCCGGAUUGUAGUCUGCAACUCGACUGCAUGAAGUUGGAAUCGCUAGUAAUCGCGGAUCAGCAUGUCGCGGUGAAUACGUUCCCGGGUCUUGUACACACCGCCCGUCACACCAUGGGAGCGGGUUUUACCAGAAGUAGGUAGCUUAACCGUAAGGAGGGCGCUUAC
rnacentral:rRNA from 1 species